ensembl:misc_RNA Metazoa_SRP Metazoan signal recognition particle RNA
GCCAGGAGUGGUGGCAUGUACCUGUAGUCCCUACUACUUGGGAAGCUGAGGUGGGAAGAUUGCUUGAGCCCAGAAGUUCUGGGUUAUGAUGACUGGGUGUCUGCACUAAGCUUGGCAUCAAUAUGGUGACCUCUUGGGAGUAGGGGACCACCAGGUUACCUAAGAAGAGGUGAACCAGCCCAGGUCGGAAACCAAGCAGGUCAAAACUCAUGGGCUGAUCAGUAGUAAGAUCACCGCUGUGAAAAGCCACUGUAAUCCAGCCUGGGCAACACAGCGAGACCCU